ensembl:lncRNA
UGUGUACGAGGCUGAAGGUGCCCAGUGGCUGUGUACGAGGCUGAAGGUGCCCAGUGGCUGUGUACGAGGCUGAAGGGGCCCAGUGGCUGUGUACGAGGCUGAAGGGGCCCAGUGGCUGUGUACGACGCUGAAGGGGCCCAGUGGCUGUGUACGACGCUGAAGGGGCCCAGUGGCUGUGUACGACGCUGAAGGGGCCCAGUGGCUGUGUACGAGGCUGAAGGUCCCCAGUGGCUGUGUACGAGGCUGAAGCUGCCCAUUGGCUGUGUACGAGGCUGAAGCUGCCCAUUGGCUGUGUACGAGGCCGAAGCUGCCCAGGGGCUGUGUACGAGGCCGAAGGUCCCCAGGGGCUGUGUACGAGGCCGAAGGUCCCCAGUGGCUAUGUACGAGGCCGAAGGUCCCCAGUGGCUGUGUACGAGGCCGAAGCUGCCCAUGUGGCUAUGUACGAGGCCGAAGCUGCCCAGUGGCUGUGUACGAGGCUGAAGCUGCCCAGUGGCUGUGUACGAGGCUGAAGGUGCUGUGUAAGAAGACGUCUCUAAGUCAUACUGCGUCUGGUGUGUGAGGGGCUCCUUGUAAGAAUGUGAAAAUAAAAGGGGAACUGUUUCUUCAGAGCGGUCAGUGAAGCACUACGCAAUCCAUUAUAUGGAUGAGGACAGUCUGGGAAACCUUUUUGAUAUGGUAUACUGCAAAGGGAACGAGAUUCAAGGUGGCGUUUGAUAACUUGGGUUUUUUUCGAUUGGGACAGGUGCACGCUUCUCAGAGAUCACACGUGUCCCACAAUCGGCAGCCUUGA